rnacentral:rRNA from 1 species
GACGAACGCUGGCGGCGUGCUUAACACAUGCAAGUCGAGCGGAAAGGCCACUUCGGUGGUACUCGAGCGGCGAACGGGUGAGUAACACGUGAGUAAUCUGCCCUUGGCUUUGGGAUAGCCACCGGAAACGGUGAUUAAUACCGGAUACGACCACUUCUCGCAUGGGAUGGUGGUGGAAAGUUUUUUCGGCCAGGGAUGUGCUCGCGGCCUAUCAGCUUGAUGGUGAGGUAAUGGCUCACCAUGGCUUCGACGGGUAGCCGGCCUGAGAGGGUGACCGGUCACACUGGGACUGAGACACGGCCCAGACUCCUACGGGAGGCAGCAGUGGGGAAUAUUGGACAAUGGGCGGAAGCCUGAUCCAGCAACGCCGCGUGAGGGAUGACGGCCUUCGGGUUGUAAACCUCUUUCAGCAGGGACGAAGCGCAAGUGACGGUACCUGCAGAAGAAGCACCGGCCAACUACGUGCCAGCCGCCGCGGUAAAAC